UGCCUACCACUACUGUGCUGACUCACAAAGCAAAGUUACAAGGCAGAUAUUGUUACAUGAAUGUGUCUUGCAGCAGCUGGCCCCAGCAUUAGCUGUGCAACGGAGGAGUAACACAGUUUCAAAUUUAUGAAACUAGAACGUGGUCUGUGGGAAAUUUUCCGAUUGUCAAACGUGUAAAAUUGUGAGCGGAGGAUGUGCUUCCCUUUGAGGUCUCCUCGAAAUGAACAUUCCCUCCCAUCAGCAAUAUACUUGACAAGGGCUGUGUUAAGAGGACCAACACCAACAGUAACAUGGAUCAACACAAGAUUGCUCUGUUCUUCUCCUGCCCCACAACCAGCUGUCCAGAAACAACAUGAUAACAAGUAAGAGCACAAGCUGUGACUUCACCCAGAGCUAGACUUGCCUCCCAGCUGCAGCAACCCAAUGACUUGCUGUGAAUUGAAGGAGAUGACAGCAUUUAACUGCUCCAAGACAUGGUCAGAAACUGAGGUUUAGAGAAGUAAAGCAACUCAACCAAGUUAACAUAACCAGUGAAUAAUACAGGCAGGAUUCAAAUCCAGCUCUGUCGUUCACAAAGCCGUGCUCAUGCCGCCACAACUUCUUCUCCCUGGGGAGGGGGCACGUCCAGCAAUAGUUGAGUAUGGAUGCCGGGGAUGAGGGGAGCUAUAGGAUAAACCUGUAGCAUUUUCCUGGGA